rnacentral:rRNA from 1 species
UACGGAGGAUCCAAGCGUUAUCCGGAUUUAUUGGGUUUAAAGGGUGCGUAGGCGGCCUAUUAAGUCAGGGGUGAAAGACGGUAGCUUAACUAUCGCAGUGCCUUUGAUACUGAUGGGCUUGAAUGGACUAGAGGUAGGCGGAAUGUGACAAGUAGCGGUGAAAUGCAUAGAUAUGUCACAGAACACCAAUUGCGAAGGCAGCUUACUAUGGUUUAAUUGACGCUGAGGCACGAAAGCGUGGGGAGUCAAACAG